rnacentral:rRNA from 1 species
CUACGGAGGAUCCGAGCGUUAUCCGGAUUUAUUGGGUUUAAAGGGUGCGUAGGCGGGCUGUUAAGCGUGAGGUGAAAGCUCGGGGCUCAACCCCGGAACUGCCUCGCGAACUGGCGGUCUUGAAUAUCCGUGCCGUGGGAGGAAUGUGUGGUGUAGCGGUGAAAUGCAUAGAGAUCACACAGAACACCGAUUGCGAAGGCAGCUGACGAGUCCUUAACUGACGCUAAUGCUCGAAAGUGCGGGUAUCGAACAGGAUUAGAUACCCUGGUAGUCCGCACGGUAAACGAUGGAUGCCCGCUGUUGGCGAUACACAGUCAGCGGCCAAGCGAAAGCGUUAAGCAUCCCACCUGGGGAGUACGCCGGCAACGGUGAAACUCAAAUGAAUUGACGGGG